rnacentral:sRNA from 1 species
CUUGGUCAUUUAGAGGAAGUAAAAGUCGUAACAAGGUCUCCGUAGGUGAACCUGCGGAGGGAUCAUUACCGAGCGAGGGCCUCCGGGUCCGACCUCCAACCCUUUGUGAACACAUCCCGUUGCUUCGGGGGCGACCCUGCCGGGCGCCCCCGGAGGACCACCAAAAAACACCGCAUCUCUGCGUCGGAGUUUACGAGUAAAUCGAAACAAAACUUUCAACAACGGAUCUCUUGGUUCUGGCAUCGAUGAAGAACGCAGCGAAAUGCGAUAAGUAAUGUGAAUUGCAGAAUUCAGUGAAUCAUCGAAUCUUUGAACGCACAUUGCGCCCCCUGGUAUUCCGGGGGGCAUGCCCGUUCGAGCGUCAUUACACCACUCCAGCCUCGCUGGGUAUUGGGCGUCUUUUCGCGGGGGAUCACUCCCCCGCGCGCCUCAAAGUCUCCGGCUGAGCGGUCUCGUCUCCCAGCGUUGUGGCAUCACGUCUCGCCGCGGAGUUCACGAGCCCUCACGGCCGUUAAAUCGCACCUCAGGUUGACCUCGGAUCGGGUAGGGAUACCCGCUGAACUUAAGCAUAUCAAUAAGCGGAGGAAAAGAAACCAACAGGGAUUGCCCUAGUAACGGCGAGUGAAGCGGCAACAGCUCAAAUUUGAAAUCUGGCCCCCCGGCCCGAGUUGUAAUUUGUAGAGGAUGCUUCUGGGUAGCGACCGGUCUAAGUUCCUUGGAACAGGACGUCAUAGAGGGUGAGAAUCCCGUAUGCGACCGGCCCGCGCCCUCCACGUAGCUCCUUCGACGAGUCGAGUUGUUUGGGAAU